GUGCCAGCCGCCGCGGUAAUACGUAGGUGGCAAGCGUUGUCCGGAUUUAUUGGGCGUAAAGCGAGCGCAGGCGGUUUCUUAAGUCUGAUGUGAAAGCCUUCGGCUCAACCGAAGAAGUGCAUCGGAAACUGGGAAACUUGAGUGCAGAAGAGGACAGUGGAACUCCAUGUGUAGCGGUGAAAUGCGUAGAUAUAUGGAAGAACACCAGUGGCGAAGGCGGCUGUCUGGUCUGUAACUGACGCUGAGGCUCGAAAGCAUGGGUAGCAAACAGGAUUAGAUACCCUGGUAGUCCAUGCCGUAAACGAUGAGUGCUAGGUGUUGGAGGGUUUCCGCCCUUCAGUGCCGCAGCUAACGCAUUAAGCACUCCGCCUGGGGAGUACGACCGCAAGGUUGAAACUCAAAGGAAUUGACGGGGGCCCGCACAAGCGGUGGAGCAUGUGGUUUAAUUCGAAGCAACGCGAAGAACCUUACCAGGUCUUGACAUCCUUUGACCACUCUAGAGAUAGAGCUUUCCCUUCGGGGACAAAGUGACAGGUGGUGCAUGGUUGUCGUCAGCUCGUGUCGUGAGAUGUUGGGUUAAGUCCCGCAACGAGCGCAACCCUUAUUACUAGUUGCCAGCAUUUAGUUGGGCACUCUAGUGAGACUGCCGGUGACAAACCGGAGGAAGGUGGGGACGACGUCAAAUCAUCAUGCCCCUUAUGACCUGGGCUACACACGUGCUACAAUGGAUGGUACAACGAGUUGCGAGACCGCGAGGUUUAGCUAAUCUCUUAAAACCAUUCUCAGUUCGGAUUGUAGGCUGCAACUCGCCUACAUGAAGCCGGAAUCGCUAGUAAUCGCGGAUCAGCAUGCCGCGGUGAAUACGUUCCCAGGCCUUGUACACACCGCCCGU
rnacentral:rRNA from 1 species